rnacentral:rRNA from 1 species
GACGAACGCUGGCGGCGUGCCUAAUACAUGCAAGUAGAACGCUGAAGGAGGAGCUUGCUCUUCUGGAUGAGUUGCGAACGGGUGAGUAACGCGUAGGUAACCUGCCUGGUAGCGGGGGAUAACUAUUGGAAACGAUAGCUAAUACCGCAUAACAGUAGAUGUUGCAUGACAUUUACUUAAAAGAUGCAAUUUCAUCACUACCAGAUGGAGCUGCGUUGUAUUAGUAAGUUGGUGGGGUAACGGCUCACCAACGCGACCAUACAUAACCGACCUCGGAGGGGGAUCGGCCCCACUGGGACUGAGACACGGCCCAGACUCCUACGGGAGGCAGCAGUAAGGGAUCUUCGGCAAUGGGCGGAAGUCUGAACGAGCAACGCCGCGUUAGUGAAGAAGGUUUUCGGAUCGUAAAGACCUGUUGUAUGAGAAGAACGAGUGUGGUAGUGGACAGUUCACACUGUGACGGUAUCUUAUCAGAAAGGGACGGCUAACUACGUG